GCGGGGGCCGGCGCGCUUGCGCAGUCCUGUGUGUGCCUCCGGGACUCGCUCAGGCGUCUGUCCUGGCUGUUCAGUGGCGUGAGGGCAGUCCUUGAUGGUGCCCUUUGUCGACCCCGCUAUGCGGGGCAGGGAAGGUCUGGACCGCGAAGAGCCAAGUUCGAGCUCCGAUAACUCUCCGUGCCCCAAGAGAAUGAUGAUGGUGAGGGGAAAGGGAGAAUGCUGAAACUCUGGGGCAAAGAAGGCAGGCCUGUCGUGGAGCUCGUGCUCGAGUUCAUAGGGCCUUACUUUUGCAAUUAUGCAGCCUCACAACUGCCCGGCAUCCGGCCCCUCCUUCCUAGCGGACUGCUGCAGCCGUAGAUACCUUUUGCCUCAAACUGCAAGUGUCUCCUCCCCGGGCUUCCCUCGCCCAUCAGUGUUGCGGACCUGAUCAGUUGCUGUCCGAGAUCCCGCUUCCUUCACACGGAGUCGCCCCUCCUCUCCCACCUGUCACAGCCACUUGGGUUUCAGUUCAGCCUUGCGGACGACUUGUUCUGCCUGGUAUGCCCUUCCUCUCAAAUGCCAUGGAGCCUCACCCUCAAACCCUGAGACAUUUAUUACAAAACCAUUAGUCAUGGAGCAAGAACAUGGUUUCAUGGUGUAAGGCUGCCUGAGUUUCCCAGGUAUCAAUGGCUCAGGUAGAUGAAGGAACAGUCGACAAAGUCACAAGAGAGAAGAACAGACUUAUCCUUAUGUAGGAAAGAUAACCGUGUCCCAAGUGUGCAAAAGGGGAAGAACUGAAGAAUUUCUGGUUUUAAAGAGCAAAGCAGACCUUUUUGUCUGAGGCCAAGACUCAUCCAAGGGAGCAUGACCUGGUUCAGUGUGGGAUCUUUACUGCUUGGUAACAGAAGACAAAUAAAGCAGAGAAACCUCACAAGCCAAUGCCCAACAAACUUCGACUUUCACAAGCCACAGCCCUAUGUGACAACCAUCAGAGAUUCUUGGACAGAAAGAACAUCAUCCAUCAAGUUAACAAUCCAUCCAUUGAUUUUAACAAGAGAUUUCUAUGAUAUUUAUGGACCUAAACUAUUCUGAAAUCCUCUCUAUUUGUUUUCUAUUAUGCAUAAUAAAUCACUCCAAAACUCAGUGGCUUAAAACAACAAACACUUCUUAUCUCAUAGUUACUAUGGCCAGAGAACUUGAGGAAAUCAUAACUGUAUAGUUUUGGCUCAGGGCUUCUCAUAAGGUUCAGUCAAGCUGUCAGCUGGGACAAUAGUCAUCUGAGAGCUUCAUUGUGGAUUGAGGAUUCACUUUGAAGAUGCAUUCAUAUGACUUUUGGGAGUAGGCCUCAGUUCCUUGCCACAUGGGCCUCUCUGAUUAUUGUUUGAGUGCCACAAUAACGUGGCAUCUGGCUUUGCUGAGAGUAAGUGAUCCAAGAGAAAGGAAGACAGAAGUCACAAUGUUGUUAUGACCCAGACUUUCAAUGUCAUAUUCCAUCAUAUCUGUUAUGUCUUAUUGAUUAUACAGGAUUAUACUAUUCAUUGUGGGAGGAGACCAUACAAGAGCAUGAACCAGGGGAGACAGGGAUUACUCAGGGGUCAUUUUGGAGAUUGGUGAUCACAUUAUGAGAUAUAGAUAUCAAACUAGUGUUUAGAAAGGAUAGAAACAACAUUUUUAGGAAAUAAAAGAACUUAGGAUUUUAUCCCUGUUUCCAUUUUUUCUCUCUUACAUAAUGACGUUUCCUAUUUAAAUCAGCAUUUUGACUUUUCCUUAAUUCCUACCUUUUCUAGAUUUAAGUUUAAGCUCUUGAAAGUUAUGAAAACUGGUGAAAUUUAGAGGUUUGUCCACUCUUACUGUAUAUAAAUAUUGAGGCCUUAAUAGCCACUCUGGCAUGAAUAUCUCAAUAUAUAUAUAACUUGAUAAGUGUAUGUGUGUCUCAUUUGAAGUAAAACUGUCUCCUAUCACUACAAUAAUUACCUUCAUUUUAUAUGUAGCUUUUCCUAAAGACAAAAGUUAUUUCUUUUGUCAAAACUUUAACUGUUUCAAUGCGAUUGAGGCUGCACUUAACAUGAUGAUAGUUUUCUUUUUUUUGAUUGUCAUCUUCUAAUCUGAAGUUAUCCUGUAUUCAAUGAAAUUAAUGCCUUUAAUGUUUUCCAUUCAUACUAGAACCAUAGUAGAAAGUGCUUUUUUAAUAUUUUUAAGGGAAUUAUCUAUGAAAACCUGCCUAUAAUUGGCUAAAUGGAGACAUUAAAGAAUAAAAUACCUCAUUCCUUUCCAAAGGGUUGCUUCCAUGAGGUGAUAGAAGCUUUGGAAAGUGGAUGCAAUUUUAUGAAAUUGGUGGCUUAUGACGCAUUAAAAUCUAGAAGUCUGCAUUUCAUUUCAAUUGAGGUAUUAGAAGUAAUGGUCUUUACUUAUAACUGCAUUAUUUUAAUACAACCUCAGGGAUAAUUAUUUUAAAAUCAACAUCAUCCUAUGUUUAAAUGAAAAUUACAAAAUCUUGAUUUAGAACUUUAGAACUUAAAAGUAUGUGUAAGGUUGGAGGCACUGGAGGGAGGGGUGAACACGUUGGACACUGAUGAUGUGCCAAAGUCCCCGGCUGUUGCCCCCUCCCAACCUGAAAAAUGUGCCUUAGGCUAGCCAAUCCUUGCGCUGCUGUAAAUCUAAGCCCUGCCUCCCCCUAGCUUCUUUAAAAACUCCCUGCCUGUCUGGUCGCGCAUGACUUCUCCAGCCAAUAUUUACAGACUGGUGAACCUCACCCAGGAUUGCGCUCAAAU